rnacentral:other from 1 species
UGUCUCCUGGGAUGUGCGCCAGCUGGUGUUGUCCUUGAGCCGUUAUAGAUACCCAAGGAGUCCUGGUUUUGUGUCAGUGUGCACGUCCGUCGUCACACCUCGUGUGUGACCCGGGAAGCCUUAGAUGCAACACUCGGCCUCCGCCUUGAGCCGAGACGGUUCAGGGCUAACCGGACAGCGGCAUUUCGGGAGACAA